rnacentral:rRNA from 1 species
GGCCUAACACAUGCAAGUCGUACGAGAAGGUUCCUUCGGGAACUGGAGAGUGGCGCACGGGUGAGUAACGCGUGGGGACCUACCUUUUAGUGGGGGAUAACGGUUGGAAACGACCGCUAAUACCGCAUACGCCCYUUGGGGGAAAGAUUUAUCGCUAAAAGAUGGACCCGCGUUGGAUUAGAUAGUUGGUGAGGUAACGGCUCACCAAGUCUUCGAUCCAUAGCUGGUUUGAGAGGAUGAUCAGCCACACUGGGACUGAGACACGGCCCAGACUCCUACGGGAGGCAGCAGUGGGGAAUAUUGGACAAUGGGCGCAAGCCUGAUCCAGCCAUGCCGCGUGAGUGAAGAAGGCCUUCGGGUUGUAAAGCUCUUUCAGAUGCGAAGAUGAUGACGGUAACAUCAGAAGAAGCCCCG